UGCUUGGUGGCUGAGUUGUAAAGGCGGUAGACUGUAGAUCUAUUAACGGAAUUAAAUUUCCCCAACAA
rnacentral:tRNA from 1 species